rnacentral:rRNA from 1 species
UACAGAGGUCCCAAGCGUUGUUCGGAUUCAUUGGGCGUAAAGGGUGUGUAGGUGGCGCCGUAAGUCGGGUGUGAAAUUUCGGAGCUUAACUCCGAAACUGCCUUUGAUACUGGCGAUCUCGAGUCCGGGAGAGGUGAGUGGAACUGCGAGUGUAGAGGUGAAAUUCGUAGAUAUUCGCAAGAACACCAGUGGCGAAGGCGGCUCACUGGCCCGGUACUGACGCUGAGGUGCGAAAGCGUGGGGAGCAAACAGG